ACUUCCUUCUACACCAACCUCCUCAUGUGCUUCACUCCCAUUCCCCAUCAGCAAAAGUUGCUGGAGGACUCCUUAGGAAAAGGUAAAGUCUCUGAGCCAAGGAUGAUUUCUGCCACAUUGAACUACUCCAAUGCAUCCAUUAGGUGAAUACAAAUGGUUAACUAACCACAAAUGAUUUAAAUAGACACUGGACUAACAGUAGAGGCCAUGCAGUCAGGUACAGUGUGAUAAAUUGCACAAAACUGGCAUCGACAAUUCUUGUUCCAAGGGUACAAGAGAAGGGCAUUUGAUUUAUAUUCACAACUAUUUUUAACUUCCACAAGCUUUUUGCAUAUUAUUCAUCUAAACUAAAUGAAAACUUUGAUUCUUUUGUACUCUGGAAAUCCCUUGAAUCUGAUGAUUAUCUUCAAAUUAAAGAUUAAAACAAAACUGUUUGGCUAAGUUUUUAUACUUUUUCUGGCAAUUCUAAAUUAAGAUGCACUUGAAAUAUUGAAUUUAUAGAACCCAUUGUUUAAUCUAAAUUAGAUUAACCCUCCUGGCUCCUCACAGAUCCAAGUGAGCAUCCCAUGCUUUUGUUUAUCCAUGACUCAAGGUUAUUACUGACAAAAUUACAAUUAGUCAGUACGUCAAACCUAUUGUUUAGGUGCAAAGCUGUGAGCUAUAAACCACCUCACUCUGGUGUAAUUAAAACUAUGUUCCAGUUCACCUACUUUAAGAUGCCUACUUGGCUCUACAUAAAGCUUCCUUUCACAGUCCUAACUACAUGCAGACCUCGAAAUCUUGAAACUUUAUGGAAACAAACUUUAUGGAGAGCCAUAAACUUUUCUGAGAUUCUUUAGAAGCAAUCUUAUCAUCAUCAGGAUUAGAAAUAAAAUAUAGUAAGUCACAGGAAUAGUGGAGAACUUCUAUAGUCACAGCUCUCCAAAGGCUGAGCACAGGGAAUCAUCAGUUCACUGGGGACUAGCCUGGGCUACAUAGCAAGGCUCUGCUCUGAAAGAGAACUAUCAUUAAAUCAUAAGAUACUUAUAAUGUUCUUUAAAAUAAAACCUAAUUCAAAAUUCAGAAAAGCUAUAUGCAUAAGAAAUAAUGCAUUUGCAUUUGUACCCACCCACUGCCUUGCCAAACUACUAUAAAGAAUGAACGUUUAGGGAGCAAAGGGAUGGCUCAUCAAUUAAGAGCUCUGGCCACUUUUCUAAGGGUCCAGAAAUCAAUAUUCAGCACCCAUGUAGUGGCUUAUGAUCUCCCUUAAUUGUAGUCCCAGGGGAUCUGACUCUCUCUUCUGGCCACCUUGGGUACCUACAUAUAUGUUAGGCACACAAACUCAUGCAGAAAAAUGAAAAAAAAAAGUUAAAGAAUGAAUAGUAAGUCCCAAAGUAAGAAGAAAGAAAACUGUUUUAGUUGUAUCAGGGGUCAGUUGUUUUAAAGUUAAUGAAUGUCUGCAGAGUGCUGCUUGCAAAGUUGGGUACUAAACCAAAACAAGAGUCUCUCUGUCCCACAGUAUGACUAGAAAAGGAGCCAACCAAAGAAGUAUCACUGGGUUUUUAUGAAGGAAUGUCCUCUUCCCAUUAAGAUUCUAGCCCUGUCUCUUCCAUGCAGGGUUUUCUGAACUCACUUGGAAAGAAGACAAAGAGGAGGCUCAACAAUGUUUUCUGUAAUCCCUUUGUCUAGUACACUAAGUAUUCCUUAAUUCAAUUUUAGUAGAUUACCCUAAUCAAUUUUUAUGGUAUUUAAACCUGCAAGAAUUUAUUUUUUUAUGCUGAAUUGGAUGCAAAUUUUAAGACUUGUGCCUAAAAUAUGGUCUUUAAUUUAAUGGAAAUGAGAUCGAUGUAUCUGUUCUGGUUUUUUCCACUGGUAUUCUGAGAGAAUAAGAUAAUGAAUUUGAGAAACCAUGAUUGCUGUGUGAUAGCUCCAUUUUCCUCUCUUGGUUUGGCCAAAGAUAUAAAGGUAGCCUGAGACAUCUUCACCUAAAACAAAAGGAAAUGUAAGAAGAAUGGAGGGAAGAAGGAAGUAAGUAAAUGUUUGAAAAAUAUUGUGUGUUGUUACAUAACAUCGAGAAACUGAAUUUG
rnacentral:lncRNA from 1 species